AACACUUGACAUGUUCGUCGCGACUCUAAGAGAUUAGAGUUUCGGUUCGGCCGGACGAAACACAGGUGCUGCAUGGCUGUCGUCAGCUCGUGUCGUGAGAUGUUGGGUUAAGUCCCGCAACGAGCGCAACCCUCACUUUUAGUUGCCAUCAUUAAGUUGGGCACUCUGAAAGAACUGCCAGUGAUAAGCUGGAGGAAGGUGGGGAUGACGUCAAGUCCUCAUGGCCCUUACGUGUUGGGCUACACACGUGCUACAAUGGCAUCUACAACAGGAAGCAAAACGGCAACGUUAAGCAAAUCCCGAAAAGAUGCCUCAGUUCGGAUUGCACUCUGCAACUCGAGUGCAUGAAGCUGGAAUUACUAGUAAUCGUGGAUCAGCGUGCCACGGUGAAUGCGUUCCCGGGUCUUGUACACACCGCCCGUCACACCAUGGGAGUUGGUUCUACCUUAAGGCAAGGUUUUAAACCCUUGACCACGGUAUAGUCAGCGACUGGGGUGAAGUCGUAACAAGGUAACCGUA
rnacentral:rRNA from 1 species